rnacentral:rRNA from 1 species
AGGUGANCCUGCGGAAGGAUCAUUA